GACGAACGCUGGCGGCGUGCUUAACACAUGCAAGUCGAACGGAAAGACCCUGCUUUCGUGCGCUGCUCGAGUGGCGAACGGGUGAGUAACACGUGAGUAACCUACCCUUCACUUUGGGGUAACUUCAGGAAACUGGGGCUAAUACCAGAUAGGAGCUCCCGCUGCAUUGUGGGGGUUGGAAAGUCUCGGCGGUCGUGGAUGGAUGAGCGGGUUAUCAGCUUGUUGGUUGGGUAGUGGCUUACCAAGGAAUUGAAUGGUAGCCGGCCUGAGAGGGGGACCGGGGACGUUAGUACUGAGAUACGGCCCAGACUGGUAUAGGAGGCAAUGGUGGAGAGUAUUACACAGUGAGAGGGAGUGUGAUGAGAAAGCGCUGGGGGUGGAAAGACGGUCUUCUGGUAGUGAACCGCAUUAGGUUGAUACGAAGCGGUAGUGACGGUACCGGGUGAAUAAGCACCGGCUAACUACGUG
rnacentral:rRNA from 1 species